rfam:Trichobilharzia regenti genome assembly, scaffold: TRE_scaffold0019399
AUCCAGCUGACGAGUCCCAAAUAGGACGAGAUGUGCAUCCUGGAU